rnacentral:rRNA from 1 species
UACGUAGGGGGCUAGCGUUGUCCGGAAUCAUUGGGCGUAAAGCGCGUGUAGGCGGUUCGGUAAGUCUGCUGUGAAAGUCGGGGGCUCAACCCUCGAAUGCCGGUGGAUACUGUCGGACUAGAGUGCGGAAGAGGCGAGUGGAAUUCCUGGUGUAGCGGUGAAAUGCGCAGAUAUCAGGAGGAACACCAAUUGCGAAGGCAGCUCGCUGGGACGUUACUGACGCUGAGACGGCGAAAGCCAGGGAGCGAACGGG